AGUGAACGCUGGCGGCGUGCUUAACACAUGCAAGUCGAACGGUAACAGGAACUAGCUUGCUAGUUUGCUGACGAGUGGCGCACGGGUGAGUAAUAUAUAGUUAAUGUACCCCAAAGACUGGGAUAGCCACUGGAAACGGUGAUUAAUACUAGAUACACCUCUUUAAUAUAAGUUAGAGAGGGAAAUGUCUUUUCGCUUUGGGAUCAGACUAUAUCCUAUCAGUUAGUUGGUGAGGUAAUGGCUCACCAAGGCAAUGACGGGUAGCGGUUCUGAGAGGAUGAUCCGCCACACUGGUACUGAGACACGGACCAGACUCCUACGGGAGGCAGCAGUGAGGAAUAUUGCACAAUGGGGGGAACCCUGAUGCAGCAACGCCGCGUGGAGGAUGACGCAUUUCGGUGUGUAAACUCCUUUUAUAUGUCAAGAAAAUGACGGUAGCAUAUGAAUAAGCACCGGCUAACUCCGUGCCAGCAGCCGCGGU
rnacentral:rRNA from 1 species